rnacentral:rRNA from 1 species
UGCAGUCGAGCGCGAAAGCGGCUUCGGCCGUUAGUAGAGCGGCGGACGGGUGAGGAACACGUGGGUAACCUGUCCUCGGGUGGGGAACAACCCAGGGAAACCUGGGCUAAUUCCGCAUAAUAUCCUUAGCACACAAGAGUUUUGGAUCAAAGCUGGGGACCCUUCGGGGCCUGGCGCCAGAGGAGGGGCCCGCGGCCGAUUAGCUUGUUGGUGAGGUAACGGCUCACCAAGGCUCCGAUCGGUAGCCGGCCUAAGAGGGCGUACGGCCACACUGGGACUGAGAUACGGCCCAGACUCCUACGGGAGGCAGCAGUGGGGAAUUUUUGUCAAUGGGGGAAACCCUGAACAAGCAACGCCGCGUGGAGGACGAAGACCUUCGGGUCGUAAACUCCUGUCGGAGGGGACGAAACCGAUUAUGGUUAAUACCCGUAGUCAUUGACGGUACCCUUAGAGGAAGCCCCGGCUAACUCCGUGCCAGCAGCCGCGGUAAUACGGGGGGGGCAAGCGUUGUUCGGAAUUAUUGGGCGUAAAGGGCGUGUAGGCGGCCCUGCAAGUCUUUCGUGAAAUCCCACAGCUCAACUGUGGAACUGCGAGGGAAACUGCGGGACUUGAGUCCGGGAGAGGAGAGUGGAAUUCCCAGUGUAGCGGUGAAAUGCGUAGAUAUUGGGAGGAACACCGGUGGCGAAGGCGGCUCUCUGGACCGGUACUGACGCUGAGGCGCGAAAGCUAGGGGAGCAAACGGGAUUAGAUACCCCGGUAGUCCUAGCCUUAAACGAUGA